rnacentral:tRNA from 1 species
GUCAUUGUGGCAGAGCCCGGCUAUUGCGAAAGAUCUAAGCCCUUUCUAAGGAGGUUCAACUCCUUCCAAUGACU